GAUGAAGAACGCAGCGAAAUGCGAUACGUAAUGUGAAUUGCAGAAUUCAGUGAAUCAUCGAAUCUUUGAACGCAUAUUGCGCUCUCUGGUAUUCCGGAGAGCAUGCUUGUUUGAGUAUCAGUAAACACCUCAACUUCCAUAUCUUUUUUGAAAUGGGAGUUGGACUUGAGUGAUCCCAACGCUUUUCCUCACCGAAAAGUGGCGGGGUACUUGAAAUGCAGGUGCAGCUGGACUUUUCUCUGAGCUAUAAGCAUAUCUAUUUAGUCUGCCUAAAAAACAGAUUAUUACCUUUGCUGCAGCUAACAUAAAGGAGAUUAGUUCUUGUGCUGACUGAUGCAGGAUUCACAAAGACAGGCUUCGGCCGACUUUGUAAACUCGAUCUCAAAUCAAGUAAGACUACCCGCUGAACUUAAGCAUAUCAAUAAGCGGAGGA
rnacentral:misc_RNA from 1 species